CCGAGUUUACAACUCCCAAACCCAAUGUGAACCAUACCAAACUGUUGCCUCGGCGGGGUCACGCCCCGGGUGCGUCGCAGCCCCGGAACCAGGCGCCCGCCGGAGGGACCAACCAAACUCUUUUCUGUAGUCCCCUCGCGGACGUUAUUUCUUACAGCUCUGAGCAAAAAUUCAAAAUGAAUCA
rnacentral:ncRNA from 4 species